rnacentral:lncRNA from 1 species
CCAAGAUUAGGGUCUCUUCACAGACCACUCUAACCUAAAAUUUUAUUAUCCUCAUUCUGAAAAUUGGCAUUAUUUGGUUUUCUUUCUCUACUAUUUUUCACUCAGCCACUAUUUCUGAUUCAGAUCACCUGUCAUCAAAGUUUAAAGAAGGGGAAACAGGAGACAGAAAUACACUGAACCAAAAAGAUUCAAAAGAGCAAUAUAAGAAGUGGAAUCUCUAAGAAUGGCUUCCAGCCACUGGAAUGAAACCACUACCUCUGUUUAUCAGUACCUUGGUUUUCAAGUUCAAAAAAUUUACCCUUUCCAUGACAACUGGAACACUGCCUGCUUUGUCAUCCUGCUUUUAUUUAUAUUUACAGUGGUAUCUUUAGUGGUGCUGGCUUUCCUUUAUGAAGUGCUUGACUGCUGCUGCUGUGUAAAAAACAAAACCGUGAAAGACUUGAAAAGUGAACCCAACCCUCUUAGAAGUAUGAUGGACAACAUCAGAAAACGUGAAACUGAAGUGGUCUAACACUCUACAGAAGAUGAACAAAAUCUUUGAAAGCAGCUCAACCUCUUCUGAGAAAAAAAAUAUAUUCUGAGGCCAACUGUUGCUACAAAACAAAUUCUGAAUGGUUAAAACAUUUCUAGUAGAAGGGGAAAAAAAAGUUAAAUAUGCACUGUUUGUGUGUAUAGCCAUUUCAUUAAAUAUACAGUAAAACUUCAUGAAUGUGAAUUUACUAAUCUGUUUAAUACUGACACUUCAAAAACUGGAUAAAAGAUUCCUAGAGUUCAAUAUUAAGCGGCAAAAGAUAAGCUGGAAAAGACAAGCAAGGCUAAUGAUGCUAAAAUGAUUUUAUAACUAACCAAUUCAUGUAGACAAAAAAUAAUGUGUUG